UGGCAGCCGCAUGUUUGAUUCUUGCUAGCGCCUACUCUUACUGACACUCUACGUUGGCGUGUCGCACGCACAGCGGUGUCUGGAUGCGAAGCUGGAGCGGCUGCAGGCGAGAUGCGAGCGCCGUAGCGGCACGGUUACGUGCUCCGACGCAGACGAGUUCGCAGAGGACAGGCCCUGUCGCUGCAGAACUAGGAGAGGCGUGGAGGUCUGCCAAGAGAUCACGAGACGCGUGUCGCAGUGCGGCUGCGACUCACCAGACGGCACCAUGCGGAUAUUCCCAGAUAAACUGUGCACCGUGAAGGACGGCUGCACGUGCGCCCUGGCAAACAGGAGAAGGGAACCGUGCGAUCCUAUCGGAGAUGGUGAAGCGGCAGCAGACGAGGAUGAUGCGGCAGCAAACCAGGAGGCGGACAUUGAGUGAAGAAGCCCCAAAAGUUGAGUCAUCAUGAAAAUAAACGUGGCGCAAAACGUCCACAGCCAUGCCCGGUGACGGUUAUAUUCACGCGUAUAUCUCAAAAUACCAGCUUCCGUGUGUGAAACAACGCGAAUCAUUUAUCUCGCACGAUGUAUGCAAAACGUAACGUAUUUCAUAACGGAAACACAAGGUAUUUUCUCGGAGAGUCAAACAAAUUCUGUCUUAAAUUUUAGCAAAAUUUGUGUGUCAAAACAGCUUACGGUGUAUAGAGUAAUAUAAAUCUAAUAUAUUCAAAAAUAAAAAUCGUACUUCUGUGUCAAAACAGC